rnacentral:rRNA from 1 species
AUUGAACGCUGGCGGCAUGCCUUACACAUGCAAGUCGAGCGGCAGCACGGGUGCUUGCACCUGGUGGCGAGUGGCGAACGGGUGAGUAAUACAUCGGAACAUGUCCUGUAGUGGGGGAUAGCCCGGCGAAAGCCGGAUUAAUACCGCAUACGAUCCACGGAUGAAAGCGGGGGACCUUCGGGCCUCGCGCUAUAGGGUUGGCCGAUGGCUGAUUAGCUAGUUGGUGGGGUAAAGGCCUACCAAGGCGACGAUCAGUAGCUGGUCUGAGAGGACGACCAGCCACACUGGGACUGAGACACGGCCCAGACUCCUACGGGAGGCAGCAGUGGGGAAUUUUGGACAAUGGGCGAAAGCCUGAUCCAGCAAUGCCGCGUGUGUGAAGAAGGCCUUCGGGUUGUAAAGCACUUUUGUCCGGAAAGAAAUCCUUGGCUCUAAUACAGUCGGGGGAUGACGGUACCGGAAGAAUAAGCACCGGCUAACUACGUG